rnacentral:rRNA from 1 species
GACGAACGCUGGCGGCGUGCUUAACACAUGCAAGUCGAACGAUGACGCCCGAGCUUGCUCGGUCUGAUUAGUGGCGAACGGGUGAGUAACACGUGAGCAACCUGCCCUUCACUCUGGGAUAACCUCGGGAAAUCGGGGCUAAUACCGGAUAUGAGCUCCUGUCGCAUGGCGGGUGUUGGAAAGUUUUUCGGUGAAGGAUGGGCUCGCGGCCUAUCAGUUUGUUGGUGAGGUAGUGGCUCACCAAGGCGAUGACGGGUAGCCGGCCUGAGAGGGCGACCGGCCACACUGGGACUGAGACACGGCCCAGACUCCUACGGGAGGCAGCAGUGGGGAAUAUUGCACAAUGGGCGAAAGCCUGAUGCAGCGACGCCGCGUGAGGGAUGACGGCCUUCGGGCUGUAAACCUCUUUCAGCAGGGAAGAAGCGAAAGUGACGGUACCUGCAGAAGAAGCGCCGGCUAACUACGU